GGCAUACAGGUGAGAUGUAAGGGUACAUCUGCACUGAACGUGACCAACUCCGAAGCUAUUUCUGCUGUCAAGAUUUGCUCCGAUGGGAUAUGGGUAUAAAUAUCCCUCCGAUCUGAGACCGCCACGGUGACUUGCAAGCAACUCACUGCACUUAGGCACUAGACUACCUGAAUUUCUAAUUCAGUGACGGAAGGCUGCUGGGUGUAGUCAAGUACU
rnacentral:lncRNA from 1 species